rnacentral:rRNA from 1 species
GAUGAACGCUAGCUACAGGCUUAACACAUGCAAGUCGAGGGGAAACGAUAUUGGAAGCUUGCUUCCGAUAGGCGUCGACCGGCGCACGGGUGAGUAACGCGUAUCCAACCUGCCCAUCACUUGGGGAUAACCUUGCGAAAGUAAGACUAAUACCCAAUGACGUCUCUAGAAGACAUCUGAAGGAGAUUAAAGAUUUAUCGGUGAUGGAUGGGGAUGCGUCUGAUUAGCUUGUUGGCGGGGUAACGGCCCACCAAGGCGACGAUCAGUAGGGGUUCUGAGAGGAAGGUCCCCCACAUUGGAACUGAGACACGGUCCAAAACUCCUACGGGAGGCAGCAGUGAGGAAUAUUGGUCAAUGGACGAGAGUCUGAACCAGCCAAGUAGCGUGCAGGAUGACGGCCCUAUGGGUUGUAAACUGCUUUUAUAAGGGAAUAAAGUGAGUCUCGUGAGACUUUUUGCAUGUACCUUAUGAAUAAGGACCGGCUAAUUCCGUGCCAGCAGCCG